rnacentral:lncRNA from 1 species
UUUAAGUCUGGUAAUACCUCGAACCCUGUCCCGAUGUUGGAUACGGGUGAGGGGUGUUACAUUUAGUGGUAUCAGAGCUAUGGUUUAGUCGAUUCUCAAACUAACCUAGCAUAUGUAUGAGAGUUUAGCUAUACAUGCCACCGAUUUGUGAUAGUGUGAUAUCUCCCGAUGUGGAUGAGAGCCAUUUUGUUUAGACAAU